rnacentral:rRNA from 1 species
UACGUAGGUGGCAAGCGUUACUCGGAAUUACUAGGCGUAAAGCGCAGGUAGGUUGUUGGAUAAGUCCGUAAUGGAAGCUCCUGGCUUAACUGGGAGACGUUUGGGGAUACUGUCCGACUGGAGUGUGGGAGAGGUAACUGGAAUUCCUGGUGUAGCGGUGAAAUGCGUAGAUAUCAGGAGGAACACCUAUGGCGAAAGCAGGUUACUGGCCCAAAUACUGACGCUGAGCUGCGAAAGCUAGGGGAGCAAACAGG